rnacentral:rRNA from 1 species
CGACCUACGGGACGCGCAGUGAGGAAUAUUGGUCAAUGGUCGGGAGACUGAACCAGCCAAGCCGCGUGGGGGAUGAAGGUACAGAGUAUCGUAAACCUCUUUUGUCAGGGAACAAAGGCGGGGACGUGUCCCCGGAUGAGUGUACCUGAAGAAAAAGCAUCGGCUAACUCCGUGCCAGCAGCCGCGGUAAUACGGAGGAUGCGAGCGUUAUCCGGAUUUAUUGGGUUUAAAGGGAGCGUAGACGGAGGAGCAAGUCUGAUGUGAAAAUCCGGGGCCCAACCCCGGAACUGCAUUGGAAACUGUUU